GCAGUCGAGCGAACUGAUUAGAAGCUUGCUUCUAUGACGUUAGCGGCGGACGGGUGAGUAACACGUGGGCAACCUGCCUGUAAGACUGGGAUAACUCCGGGAAACCGGAGCUAAUACCGGAUAACAUUUUUUCUUGCAUAAGAGAAAAUUGAAAGAUGGUUUCGGCUAUCACUUACAGAUGGGCCCGCGGUGCAUUAGCUAGUUGGUGAGGUAACGGCUCACCAAGGCAACGAUGCAUAGCCGACCUGAGAGGGUGAUCGGCCACACUGGGACUGAGACACGGCCCAGACUCCUACGGGAGGCAGCAGUAGGGAAUCUUCCGCAAUGGACGAAAGUCUGACGGAGCAACGCCGCGUGAGUGAUGAAGGCUUUCGGGUCGUAAAACUCUGUUGUUAGGGAAGAACAAGUACAAGAGUAACUGCUUGUACCUUGACGGUACCUAACCAGAAAGCCACGGCUAACUACGUGCCAGCAGCCGCGGUAAUACGUAGGUGGCAAGCGUUAUCCGGAAUUAUUGGGCGUAAAGCGCGCGCAGGCGGUUUCUUAAGUCUGAUGUGAAAGCCCACGGCUCAACCGUGGAGGGUCAUUGGAAACUGGGGAACUUGAGUGCAGAAGAGAAAAGCGGAAUUCCACGUGUAGCGGUGAAAUGCGUAGAGAUGUGGAGGAACACCAGUGGCGAAGGCGGCUUUUUGGUCUGUAACUGACGCUGAGGCGCGAAAGCGUGGGGAGCAAACAGGAUUAGAUAC
rnacentral:rRNA from 1 species